rnacentral:rRNA from 1 species
CGGGGGAAUCGACCCCCUCGGUGUCGUAGCCAACGCGUUAAGUGUUCCGCCUGGGGAGUACGCACGCAAGUGUGAAACUCAAAGGAAUUGACGGGGGCCCGCACAAGCGGUGGAGUAUGUGGUUUAAUUCGAUGCAACGCGAAGAACCUUACCAGGGUUUGACAUCCUGCGAAUCCCCUGGAAACGGGGGAGUGCCUUCGGGAGCGCAGAGACAGGUGGUGCAUGGCUGUCGUCAGCUCGUGUCGUGAGAUGUUGGGUUAAGUCCCGCAACGAGCGCAACCCACGUCUUUAGUUGCCAGCAUUCAGUUGGGCACUCUAGAGAGACCGCCGGUGAUAAACCGGAGGAAGGUGUGGAUGACGUCAAGUCAUCAUGCCCCUUACAUCCUGGGCUACACACGUACUACAAUGCUACGGACAAAGGGCAGCAAACUCGCGAGAGCUAGCAAAUCCCAUAAACCGUGGCUCAGUUCAGAUCGUAGGCUGCAACUCGCCUACGUGAAGUCGGAAUCGCUAGAAUCGAAUUCCCGCGGCC